rnacentral:rRNA from 1 species
AGUGAACGCUGGCGGCAGGCCUAACACAUGCAAGUCGAACGGCAGCACAGCAGUAGCAAUACUGUGGGUGGCGAGUGGCGGACGGGUGAGGAAUACAUCGGAAUCUGCCUAGUCGUGGGGGAUAACGUAGGGAAACUUACGCUAAUACCGCAUACGACCUACGGGUGAAAGCGGGGAUCGCAAGACCUCGCGCGAUUAGAUGAGCCGAUGUCCGAUUAGCUAGUUGGCGGGGUAAUGGCCCACCAAGGCGACGAUCGGUAGCUGGUCUGAGAGGAUGAUCAGCCACACUGGAACUGAGACACGGUCCAGACUCCUACGGGAGGCAGCAGUGGGGAAUAUUGGACAAUGGGCGAAAGCCUGAUCCAGCAAUGCCGCGUGAGUGAUGAAGGCCUUAGGGUUGUAAAGCUCUUUUACCCGGGAUGAUAAUGACAGUACCGGGAGAAUAAGCCCCGGCUAACUCCGUGCCAGCAGCC